AAAUAACAGACAUGUUAUACUCCUGCUCCAAACGUUGAUUAAAAACUUCCAUGUGUAAAAGACCAAGGAAACCCAACCUGGUAAAAAAAAAUAUCCUGUUGGUAAAAGUAUUUGUAUAUCCUCUGGAAUUUCACAGUGGGAUUCUUUUUUUCUUUUCCCCUUCAGCAUGUUUAUACUGCUAGUCUGGCAAUAUCAGGCACAGCAAACAAUCUCCAAAGGAUCCUGCAGGUGAAUAGUGGCUGCAGUGUAAACAUUUAGCUUAUGCAUCAUCACUGGACAAGCAGACAAAUUUCACUGAGAUGUUCCUUCAAAGGGUCUGCAUUCUUCAAGUCAAUCUGAAGAACAACAAACUGCUAAAUAUACAGGUAAUCACAUCUUCCGUACGAUCCAGCACUGUUGUUUCCAAAUAUAUAAGCGAAGGAUCCUUACUGUAUUUACAAGUAGAACACAAAGUUCUUAUUAUAUUUAUCUAUAUUUAUCUUAUCUAUUUCUUCAUUAUAUAUUUGUAUUUAAGGAUACAUGUCUUAUAAAUCUUCUAUACAUUUAAGCAACCCAGCUAUUUAAUAUGAAACUCUAAAGCCUUUAUUACCUUAUUUAUGACGGGAAUUAUUGUAAGCUGUGCUUCAAAAGCAAGGUAGAAGUUUGCCACUGUCUGAGCCUGAAUACCCUGGAAAAUAAGCAUUAAAAAAAUGUAACAUGGAACCU